rnacentral:rRNA from 1 species
CCUACGGGUGGCUGCAGUAGGGAAUCUUUCACAAUGGGCGAAAGCCUGAUGGAGCAACGCCGCGUGCAGGAUGAAGGCCUUCGGGUUGUAAACUGCUUUUAUAAGCGAGAAAUAUGAUGGUGACUUAUGAAUAAGGAUCGGCUAACUACGGGCCAGCAGCCGCGGUCAUACGUAGGAUCCGAGCAUUAUCCGGAGUGACUGGGUGUAAAGAGUUUCGUAGGCGGAAUAUCAAGUCAGCGGUAAAAAUUCGGGGCUCAACCUCGUCGUGCCGUUGAAACUGAUGUUCUUGAGUGGGCGAGAGGUAGGCAGAAUGCGUGGUGUAGCGGUGAAAUGCAUAGAUAUCACGCAGAACUCCGAUUGCGAAGGCAGCAUCCCGGCGCAAAACUGACGCUCAAGUACGAAAGCGUGGGGAUCGAACAGGAUUAGAUACCCUAGUAGUC